GGCAGCACAGUAAGAGCUUGCUCUUAUGGGUGGCGAGUGGCGGACGGGUGAGGAAUACGUCGCGAAUCUACCUUUUCGUGGGGGAUAACGUAGGGAAACUUACGCUAAUACCGCAUACGACCUUCGGGUGAAAGCAGGGGACCUUCGGGCCUUGCGCGGAUAGAUGAGCCGAUGUCGGAUUAGCUAGUUGGCGGGGUAAAGGCCCACCAAGGCGACGAUCCGUAGCUGGUCUGAGAGGAUGAUCAGCCACACUGGAGCUGAGACACGGUCCAGACUCCUACGGGAGGCAGCAGUGGGGAAUAUUGGACAAUGGGCGCAAGCCUGAUCCAGCCAUACCGCGUGGGUGAAGAAGGCCUUCGGGUUGUAAAGCCCUUUUGUUGGGAAAGAAAAGCCUCGGCUAAUACCCGGUUGUUCUGACCGUCCCAAAGAAUAGCACCGGCUAACUUCGUGCCGCAGCCGCGGUAUGCGAAGGGUGCAAGCGUCCCUCGGAAUUACUGGGCGUAAAGCGUGCGUAGGUGGUUGUUUAGUCUGUUGUGAAAGCCCUGGGCUCACCUGGGAAUUGCAUUGGAUCGGGGCCAUAGAGUGUGGUCCAGGGGCUGGAAUUCCCGGAGUACAGUGAAUGCUUAGAGUCGGGAGGAACAUCCUGGCUAAGCAGCUACUGGACAACCUGACCUGAGCACAAAGCCUGGGAGAAACGGAUAGAUCCCUGUAGCCACGGCUAACGUGCCAGUGUAUUUGAUGCAUUUGCACGCUUAUCAAGCUACGCCUAAUUCCCGCCAGGGAUACGUCAUAGAUGAACCAAUGAUUGCGGGAAUGCG
rnacentral:rRNA from 1 species